AGGUAAGCUACUAAGAGCGAAUGGUGGAUGCCUUGACUGGUAAAGGCGAUGAAGGACGUACUAGACUGCGAUAAGCUAGGUGGAGCUGUCAAGAAGCUUUGAUGCCUAGAUUUCCGAAUGGGGCAACCCAAUGUAUAGAGAUAUACAUUACCAUAAUGGAGCGAACGAGGGGAAUUGAAACAUCUUAGUACCCUCAGGAAAAGAAAUCAAAAGAGAUUGCGUCAGUAGCGGCGAGCGAAAGCGCAAGAGGGCAAACCCAGUGCUUGCACUGGGGGUUGUAGGACUGCAAUGUGCAAUAGGAAAGGUUAGCAGAACACUCUGGAAAGUGUAGCCAUAGAGGGUGAUAGUCCCGUAUGCGAAAACCUAACCUUAGCUAGCAGUAUCCUGAGUAGGGCGGAACACGAGAAAUUCUGUCUGAAGCUGGGUAGACCACUAUCCAACCCUAAAUACUACUACCAGAUCGAUAGCGAACAAGUACCGUGAGGGAAAGGUGAAAAGAACGGCGGUGAGCCGAGUGAAAUAGAACCUGAAACCAUUUGCUUACAAUCAUUCAGAGCACUAUGUAGCAAUACAGUGUGAUGGACUGCCUUUUGCAUAAUGAGCCUGCGAGUUGUGGUGUCUGGCGAGGUUAAGCACACGCGAAGCCGUAGCGAAAGCAAGUCUUAAUAGGGCGCUUAGUCAGAUGCUGCAGACCCGAAACGAAGUGAUCUAUCCAUGAGCAGGUUGAAGCUAGUGUAAGAACUAGUGGAGGACCGAACCCGCUAGCGUUGAAAAGCUAUGGGAUGACUUGUGGAUAGGGGUGAAAGGCCAAUCAAACUUCGUGAUAGCUGGUUCUCUCCGAAAUAUAUUUAGGUAUAGCGUUGUGUCGUAAUAUAAGGGGGUAGAGCACUGAAUGGGCUAGGGCAUACACCAAUGUACCAAACCCUAUCAAACUCCGAAUACCUUAUGUGUAAUCACAGCAGUCAGGCGGCGAGUGAUAAAAUCCGUCGUCAAGAGGGAAACAACCCAGACUACCCGCUAAGGUCCCCAAAUCUUACUUAAGUGGAAAACGAUGUGAAGUUACUUAAACAACCAGGAGGUUGGCUUAGAAGCAGCCAUCCUUUAAAGAAAGCGUAAUAGCUCACUGGUCUAGUGAUUUUGCGCGGAAAAUAUAACGGGGCUAAAGUAAGUACCGAAGCGGUAGGCUUGUGCUUA
rnacentral:rRNA from 1 species